GACGAACGCUGGCGGCGUGCUUAACACAUGCAAGUCGAACGGAAAGGCCCUGCUUUUGUGGGGUGCUCGAGUGGCGAACGGGUGAGUAACACGUGAGUAACCUGCCCUUGACUUUGGGAUAACUUCAGGAAACUGGGGCUAAUACCGGCUAGGAGCUCCUGCUGCAUGGUGGGGGUUGGAAAGUUUCGGCGUUUGGGGAUGGACUCGCGGCUUAUCAGCUUGUUGGUGGGGUAGUGGCUUACCAAGGCUUUGACGGGUAGCCGGCCUGAGAGGGUGACCGGCCACAUUGGGACUGAGAUACGGCCCAGACUCCUACGGGAGGCAGCAGUGGGGAAUAUUGCACAAUGGGCGGAAGCCUGAUGCAGCAACGCCGCGUGCGGGAUGACGGCCUUCGAGUUGUAAACCGCUUUCGCCUGUGACGAAGCGUGAGUGACGGUAAUGGGUAAAGAAGCACCGGCUAACUACGUG
rnacentral:rRNA from 1 species